GACGAACGCUGGCGGCGCGCCUAAUACAUGCAAGUAGAACGCUGAAGGAGGAGCUUGCUUCUCUGGAUGAGUUGCGAACGGGUGAGUAACGCGUAGGUAACCUGCCUGGUAGCGGGGGAUAACUAUUGGAAACGAUAGCUAAUACCGCAUAAUAGUAGAUGUUGCAUGACAUUUGCUUAAAAGGUGCAAUUGCAUCACUACCAGAUGGACCUGCGUUGUAUUAGCUAGUUGGUGGGGUAACGGCUCACCAAGGCGACGAUACAUAGCCGACCUGAGAGGGUGAUCGGCCACACUGGGACUGAGACACGGCCCAGACUCCUACGGGAGGCAGCAGUAGGGAAUCUUCGGCAAUGGACGGAAGUCUGACCGAGCAACGCCGCGUGAGUGAAGAAGGUUUUCGGAUCGUAAAGCUCUGUUGUAAGAGAAGAACGAGUGUGAGAGUGGAAAGUUCACACUGUGACGGUAUCUUACCAGAAAGGGACGGCUAACUACGUG
rnacentral:rRNA from 1 species